rnacentral:rRNA from 1 species
GACGAACGCUGGCGGCGUGCUUAACACAUGCAAGUCGAACGAAGUGGCGAACGGGUGAGUAACGCGUAAUCAACCUGCCCUUCAGAGGGGGACAACAGUUGGAAACGACUGCUAAUACCGCAUACUGAAGGAGGGGAUGGCGUCGUCUUCGCUAGGUGGAGCGGUAACGGCCAACCAAGGCGAUGAUCAGUAGGCGGUCUGAGAGGAGGAAACGCCACAUUGGGACGGAGACACGGCCCAGACUCCUACGGGAGGGAGCAGUUGGGAAUUUUCCGCAAUGGAGGAAAGUCUGACGGAGCAACGCCGCGGGAGAGAUGACGGCCUUCGGGUUGGAAAGGUCUGUUAAUCGGGACGCGGUACCGGAAUAGAAAGCCACGGCUAACUACGUGCCAGCAGCCGCGGUAAUUC